AUGUAAUUUAAUGCCUACAAUGUUAAUGCAUCAGAUCCCAUUAGAAAUUCAUAGUUAAGUGUGCUUGGGCUAGACUAGUACUAGGAUGGGUGACCUCUCAAUAAGUCCUAGUGUUUUACAUG
rnacentral:rRNA from 1 species